CUCACAUAAAUCUUAAUAUGUUACCGAAAUAUUUUGGCGGAAGUCUUAGAAUAUAAUAAAUUUUAUAAUUCCUUUGGAAAACCCGCAACGUUCUUUGGUGAUGCACCCUUAUGUACAUAGAUAUAUUUUUAUUUAAUUUCUUUUUUACAACAGAAAAUCCCUUUUUUUGUAAAUAUAAAUUCUAAAUUGUAAAAACGCGGUAAUAACCCAAAUCCAUGUUUUUAAGUACAUAUACAUAUACUAUAUAUGUAUGUAUUUAUGUAUAGAGUUCCAAAAGUACCCAGUCUGUAAUUGCACAACACUUCUUUGUAAAUAUGUAAACGCUUCCAGGCAGUACUUACUUUUGGAAGUUCCGUUAGAAGUUUACCAGUAUUUAGCGGUAGCCAAAGUGGCAGAGACAGGUCUUCAUAGCGUGGUAUCACAAAUAGAAAGGAUUUGCCCUAGGGGAAACUCAUUCCCUGCUGAAGUCGAAAACCAGAAGUCUGAUGAGCUGAUGUGGUGAUCUCCGAAAUAACAGCUAUCUAGCGCUUACUCUUUGUUGCUCUUUCAAUUUUUUCUGAAAAUAAAUUUUGGUAUAAAGCUGAAAAAUUUGUUGAAGUAAAUAGCUGUUUUUUGGUAAUUAAGAUAGUAGUCUUUGGAAUUUUUCCGCUGUCAUCACCCAGAAUUAUGGAAAAUAAAAAAAAUAGGAAACCCAUAUUUUUUUUUUUUUUUUGAAAUCGGUUACAACUCUUUAAUGAUGCCACCAGGACUUUAAAUUUUUCCAUGUAAAUAUAAUUUUUCGUGCAACUGUUAUAACACCGUUAAAAAUAAAAUAAAUAUUUUUUUUCGAAUAAAAUAAUUUCCCUUCAGAAAUCUUCGAAAACAAUUAGGAUACAUAUUUUACUUAAAAAUUUUACCAACUAUUUUUACUCCGAAAAUCGGGGGAACGAACCGAACCGAAUCAUUUUUUGGAGUGGUUUUUGGUUCGGUUUUGGGAUUUUAAAAUAAAAACGGUUCGGUUCGGAGCCCGAAAAAAAGCGACGGUUCGGUUCAAAACCGGUUUGCAGCCCUGAUUUUUACAGUUCGUGCGCGAUUUGGUUACGAAUACAUAAAUAAGAGAUAAGACUAUCGGCUAUAAGUUCCGUCAUUGCGAGAGUCGUGUCGAAUGCAUGUCGUUUUUCGAGAGUCAAAUCGUAUCGAAAAUUUCAUGUCAUUGGCUAAAAUUUCCGCUCGACUGGUGUAUUAAAACGGAAAAACUUGGCAGCACUGCAUAGUUUUCGACGAUUUUCGUCGUUUACUUAUUUCAGCACGACAGUAGGCAAUGCCAAUGUUGCCAAGUCGUACAAUUCAAUUUGAAGAUUUCUGAAGUGAAAUAUUUUUAUUCUAUCGAAAAAUAUUUAAUUUUAACGAUUGUAUAGCAGUUCUAUACAAAAAGAAUUUUCUUGUAAAAUACAUGGGAAACUUCAAAGCUCUGGCAGCACCAAUAAAUGUUAACCAAUU